ensembl:rRNA 5S_rRNA 5S ribosomal RNA
AUCUAUGGCCACACCAGCCUGAAUGCAGCCAAUCUCAACUGCUCUUGGAAGCUAAGCAGGGGUUGGGACUGGUCAAUACUUGGAUGGGAGAAAAUCCAGCAUCCAUUCAUU